rnacentral:rRNA from 1 species
AUGACGCUAGAAGAAGCACCAUUUUACCCACGCGAGAAGCUCGUUCAGAAGCAGCAGUAUUUCCAGAAGCUGAGCAAGCAUAUCCACCUUAAAGGCCGUUACGAUGUGGUCACCUCUGUUGCCAUUCCCCUUGCGCUUGCUGGCGCCAGCUUGUUCAUGAUUGGUCGUGGGAUCUACAACAUGUCUAACGGGAUCGGGAAAAAGGAGUGA